rnacentral:rRNA from 1 species
UACGGAGGGUGCGAGCGUUGUCCGGAAUCAUUGGGCGUAAAGGGCGCGUAGGUGGCCCGGUCAGUUCGUGGUGAAAGCGCGGGGCUCAACUCCGCGUCGGCCAUGAAUACUGCUGGGCUUGAGCACUGUAGAGGCAGGCGGAAUUCCGGGUGUAGCGGUGGAAUGCGUAGAGAUCCGGAAGAACACCGGUGGCGAAGGCGGCCUGACUG